rnacentral:rRNA from 1 species
CAUCCAAGGAAGGCAGCAGGCGCGCAAAUUACCCAAUCCCAAUUCGGGGAGGUAGUGACAAUAAAUACUGAUACGGGGCUCUUUCGGGUCUCGUAAUUGGAAUGAGUACAAUCUAAAUCCCUUAACGAGGAACAAUUGGAGGGCAAGUCUGGUGCCAGCAGCCGCGGUAAUUCCAGCUCCAAUAGCGUAUAUUAAAGUUGUUGCCGUUAAAAAGCUCGUAGUUGAACCUUGGACCUGGCUGAUCUGUCCUCCUAAUCGAGCGCACGGAUUCGGUCGGGUCUUUCCUUCUGGGGAGCCCUAUGCCCUUCACUGGGUGUAGUGGGGAACCAGGACUUUUACCUUGAAAAAAUUAGAGUGUUCAAAGCAGGCCUUUGCUCGAAUACAUUAGCAUGGAAUAAUAGAAUAGGACAUCGGUUCUAUUUUGUUGGUUUCUAGGACCGCUGUAAUGAUUAAUAGGGAUAGUCGGGGGCGUCAGUAUUCAAUUGUCAGAGGUGAAAUUCUUGGAUUUAUUGAAGACUAACUACUGCGAAAGCAUUCGCCAAGGAUGUUUUCAUUAAUCAGUGAACGAAAGUUAGGGGAUCGAAGACGAUCAGAUACCGUCGUAGUCUUAACCAUAAACUAUGCCGACUAGGGAUCGGACGGUGGUUUUUUUAUGCCCCGUUCGGCACCUUACGA